CCCUUAGAUGUUCUGGGCCGCACGCGCGCUGCACUGAUGCAUUCAACGAGUCUAAAACCUGCUCUGAUAGGGGUGGGUAAUCUUUUGAAUGUGCAUCGUGAUUGGGAUAGAUGAUUGCAAUUUUUCAUCUUCAACGAGGAAUGCCUAGUAAACGCAAGUCAUCAGCUUGCAUUGACUACGUCCCUGCCCUUUGUACACACCGCCCGUCGCUCCUACCGAUUGAAUGAUCCGAUGAAUAUCAUGGAUUGAGGAUUAUAGCAGGUUCGCCUGUCUUGAUCUUCGAGAAGUGAAGUAAAUCUUAUCAUUUAGAGGAAGGAGAAGUCGUAACA
rnacentral:rRNA from 1 species